AUUGAACGCUGGCGGCAUGCCUUACACAUGCAAGUCGAACGGCAGCAUGAUCUAGCUUGCUAGAUUGAUGGCGAGUGGCGAACGGGUGAGUAAUACAUCGGAACGUGCCCUGUAGUGGGGGAUAACUAGUCGACAGAUUAGCUAAUACCGCAUACGACCUGAGGGUGAAAGUGGGGGACCGCAAGGCCUCGUGCUAUCGGAGCGGCCGAUGUCUGAUUAGCUAGUUGGUGAGGUAAAGGCUCACCAAGGCGACGAUCAGUAGCUGGUCUGAGAGGACGAUCAGCCACACUGGGACUGAGACACGGCCCAGACUCCUACGGGAGGCAGCAGUGGGGAAUUUUGGACAAUGGGGGCAACCCUGAUCCAGCAAUGCCGCGUGUGUGAAGAAGGCCUUCGGGUUGUAAAGCACUUUUGUCCGGAAAGAAAUCGCACUUACUAAUAUUAGGUGUGGAUGACGGUACCGGAAGAAUAAGGACCGGCUAACUACGUGCCAGCCGCCGCAGUAACAC
rnacentral:rRNA from 1 species